GUGACAGACGAAUAGGCAGAUAUUACUAUUGUUACUCUGGCUACGAGUCGUACAACUCUUCUCACUUUGCGCUACCGCACUGCACACCAAAAAUAUGUAGAGUACGACAAAUUUGAGCUGGACAACAGACUUGUUGGUUUGUAUUUAUUUCUUUUCUCUAUACAACAAAAGAAAUAUUUCUACUUUCAAUUUUUCUUCCAAACUUAAAUUGAGUUCCUAGGUAUAAGCUGCUGAUGUCGAUUUACUUUUGGUAUGCCUUGGACACAUUGCUUGACUGAGUUGUUUAAUGGGCUUCGCAAGGUAAA